UAUACACAUGCUGGACUCAGCCUCUAAAAACUGUUUGGUCCUCAUCAUUUACGAGAACUAGAUGCAGCUGAAUAUGAGGAAAUUACCAGAGCUCCACGACUAUCUUUCAGCCUUUCUUUGAGAGAAAAUGAAGCAACUGGUUUAGGAAAUGAGGAAGGGAAAGUCCAAGUUUGUGAUGCGGAAAUGUUAGAUGAGCUAACUACUAGCAGAGGGGAGUUCAAAGAACUGUAAGCUUCCAUGAAGAAAAUCGCAGUCAGAUUUAUCCUGAGGGAAUUGCUGAAGAAGAGUGAAACCAAUAUCAACAUGAAGUCGGAGAAAGUGAA